rnacentral:lncRNA from 12 species
UUUCUGAGACUAGCAUGUAUUUUGUAAAUGGUUUCCUCUGUAUCUUUAGGAGAGUGAAGAUUUCAGAGAUGUCGCAAAUCUCCUGCUUGUACAUUACUCCUGAAAGGACAAUAUGAAAAUAAAAUUAGCUUUACUGUUUUCUAAUACUUUGGA